AAGAAUUGCCGUCAUCAAUUGGUUUUGGCUCUUCACAUACUAAGUUGUAUUUGAUGAGAUGUGAAAGGCUAAAGAGUCUACCAAAUAGCAUUUUUGAAUUGAAAGGCCUUCAGAGGUUAGAUCUCAGUGGCUGUUCAAAUCUUGAGAAAUUGCCUCCUUUAUGUGGCUUAUGCUCUUUACAAAAGCUAUUUCUAAAUGGCACUGCACUGUUAGAAAUUCCCCCUGACACUGCCUCUUUGUCAUCAUUAAGACGACUGAGUUUACAAAACUGCAACAGACUCCAAAAGUCAGUAUCAACUUCAUAUAUUGCACCAAUAAAAUAUCGUGAAGGAUGCAGGGACUAUGGUUAUGGUUUGAAUUUUUGUAAUAGCUUAAAUUUGGACCAAAAUGCACGUG
rnacentral:misc_RNA from 1 species